UACAGAGACUGCAAGCGUUAUUCGGAUUCACUGGGCGUAAAGGGUGCGCAGGCGGCCAAGUGUGUGAGGCGUGAAAGCCCGGGGCUUAACCCCGGAAUUGCACCUCAAACUACUCGGCUAGAGCAUUGGAGAGGGUAGCAGAAUUCAUGGUGUAGCAGUGAAAUGCGUAGAUAUCAUGAGGAACACCGGUGGCGAAGGCGGCUGCCUGGACCGAUACUGACGCUGAGACGCGAAAGCGUGGGGAGCAAACAGG
rnacentral:rRNA from 1 species